rnacentral:rRNA from 1 species
GAUGAACGCUGGCGGCGUGCCUAACACAUGCAAGUCGAGCGAACAGACGAUGAGCUUGCUCCUCUGACGUUAGCGGCGGACGGGUGAGUAACACGUGGAUAACCUACUUAUAAUACUGGGAUAACUUCGGGAAACCGCUGCCAAUACCAGAUAAUAUAUUGAACCGCAUGGAUCAAUAGUGAAAGACGGUUUUGCCGUCACUUAUAGCUGGAUUCGCGCCGCUUUAGCUGGUUGGUAAGGUAACGGCUACCCAAGGCACCGAUGCGUAGCCGACCUGAGAGAGGGAUCGGCCACAUUGGACCUGAGACCCGGUCCAGACCCCUAGGGGGGGCGGCGGUAGGAAAUUUGCCGCAAUGGGCGAAGGCCUAUCGGAGCAACGCGGCGGGGGUGAUGAAGGUCUUCGGUUCGUAAAACUCUGUUAUUGGAAAAGAACAAAGCUGGAUGUAACUAUGCUCGUCUGGCCGGUACCAAAGCAGAAGGCCCCGCCAACCUACGU